GGAGGGAUAUCGAAGUGGUCAUAACGAGGCGGUCUUGAAAACCGUUUGCCCUCUGGGCACGUGGGUUCGAAUCCCACUCCCUCCGCCA
rnacentral:tRNA from 1 species